UUCAGUCUCUUGCCUUUUUUUUAUUGCUUCUUGAUUUUUCUGAGUGAGGUUCUUUGUUUGCUGAACAAUUUUUUGCAAUCUUGCUAGGAAACAUCAAAAUAUGGCUGCUUUGCUGUACAAAUUAAUGGAAGCAACUUUUUUUUUCUUUUUAUUGUGUUGAACUUUUCAUGUUUUUCGAUUGUUGUAUUUAUAAUUUCUUUUGUUGUUGAACUUCUUGUAUCAAGAUUUUUGUUAGUUAUUAUGUUGUAUGACUGUAUUUAUGACUUUGUGAAAUUAAACUUGUUAUUUUGUU